rnacentral:rRNA from 1 species
UACAGAGGGGGCAAGCGUUGUUCGGAAUUACUGGGCGUAAAGGGCGCGUAGGCGGCCAGCACAAGUCAGUUGUGAAAUCUCCGAGCUUAACUCGGAAAGGUCAACUGAUACUGUGCGGCUAGAGUGCGGAAGGGGCAACUGGAAUUCUUGGUGUAGCGGUGAAAUGCGUAGAUAUCAAGAGGAACACCUGCGGCGAAGGCGGGUUGCUGGGCCGACACUGACGCUGAGGCGCGAAAGCUAGGGGAGCGAACGGG